AGUAAAGUCAGCUAAUUUAAGCUCUUGGGCCCAUACCCCAAACAUGUUGGUUAAAAUCCUUCCUCUACUA
rnacentral:tRNA from 1 species